CUUCGCAGAACCCUCUAUUCUUUCUUAUACACCAGCAAGAAGAGCAGAACGGCCAGGCCAAUUUGGGGAUCUUCCUUCCGCUGCAAGGAGGUCUGGCACAUUGUGAUAUAUUGGUAAUUUUAUUCAUCGCCAGCUGGCCACUCUGUAGAUAAUGGCUACACAGGGAAAGGAGGAAGAGCAUCAACAUUCAGGAGAUAACCAACAAGCAGCAACAAACCAAGCUGAUGUUGGCUGGAUGGGAGCGAUUCAGCAACAAUAUCGCAGAAUCAAAGAAAAUGCAGAAACCUACCCUUAUGUAUGGGGUUCUUAUAUUGUUGUGUAUGGUGGAUUUGGACUCUGGUUUGCCUACAGAUGGAGAAAGCUCAGAAGAACUGAGGACAGAGUUCGAGUUCUGCAAGAGAGACUCCGCAAACUCGUUGAAGCUGAAGAAUCAGCAAGUUCUAAAGUUGCUGAAAGUUCUACAGUAGGUGAAAAGGCACCAACGUCUUCUGAUAAAUCCAAAAUUUAGUUGCUGCUGUUCCCAAUUGAAUUCAAUAUGUUUCCUGAAAGCUGUUAAUAUCACACCUUUUGAUGUUUUAAAUGGGUGGAAAAGCGUUUGAUUGGUAAAUCUGGAGAAAAUUUCUGUGACAAUGAUUUGCUAGAGCUAAGUGCUAACAGAGAAAGCCAAAUUGUAGAGCGAGAAUGUUGUUGGUCUUGAUAUAGUUUUGCUAGACUGAUGUAUGUGGCAUUUAUUUCUGCAAACUAAUAUGUAGAAUUAGAUUCUUGAAAUUAUUUCCAUUUCUAUAAA